GUCCCCGUAGCCCAGCGGUAGAGGCAAGCGGCUUAAACCCGCUCCAGCGCCGGUUCGAAUCCGGCUGGGGACA
rnacentral:tRNA from 1 species